ACUCUUGUAGAGGGUAAAACACACAGAGACACCUCACAUACAGAGACAGCUAUAAUGGGUCAAGCAGCUAAUGAACAUCAGACAGACAGACAGACCAAUAGGGCGGUUAUGAUGGGAAGGAGGAACGAAAACAGACAGAUAGACAGAGCGAGAGAGCCUCUAGGUCCAGCCUUUGAAGAUGUCCGGUCACAUCGGCAAGUACAGAUCCUUUGUUCUCCUUCUCUUUUAUAAUUUGAUCACUUCCUAUACUUGGAGAUUUUCUUCCUGUUUGCAACUGGUACUAACAUAACAGAUGCAAGACUCUCUGGCCAGGAUGACAGAAAAUCGAGGUUGCGGUUGCUGAAAUCCCUCCUGUGCCUUCAACUCUAAACACAGGGUCAGAUGUCAGCCUACAGCUAUGCACAAAACUACAGUAUAAAAAAAAACAACAAAAAAAAAAAACACUUGUGCCAGAUACUGCCAUUUUUUCUGUCCCAGUGUCAAUCCAAUUAUGUCUCAAGCAGAGUACUGGCAAAACAAGGUAGGUAGUAUCAAUUCCAGAGAGUUUUACCUUCAGUCUUUCAUUCAAUCUUGUUCAUUAAAAUAAAGCACAGGAAAAAGUUAGCAAUCAAUAUCACAUGGACAUAAGUGUUGUGGCAAUAGGCAAAUCACAGCUAUGCUAAUAUUCGGUAAAGCAAUGUGACUGUAAUUUUGCUUUUAUACUUUUUUCUCAUGUUUUGUCUUGACCAAAGGGAGAAAAAAAAAAAAAACCCCAAAAGACAUCAAACUUUCAAGCUUUGCAUGAGGACCAGAACUUUUGUAUAUGGAAAGACAGAAAAUUUUACUCUUACAUUCAUUUACUAAGCAGGAUACCUUUUGCUGCACCUGAAAGCUCCCGUUACCUGAAACAAAUUGCCUGAAGAAAUCUGCACCGCUUCUGGUCCUAAAAAUGCAAAGGAGAUGCAGAAACUGG